GGGGAUGUAACUCAGUGGUAGAGUGCUCGCUUUGCAUUAACAACGCAAAAAUGCGAGAAGUCCAGGUUUCGAUCACCUGCUUCUCCA